CCCCCGGCACUCCUCUGGGAUGGAACCUGGACAGCAAACGGAUAGAUAAUUCAUCAAAGAAGGAAGUUAAUAAGAGAGGAUUCACAGCUGCCAGGGCCCAGUGAACUGGGCCUGGGUAUCGUCAAUAUUCCGCUUCACAAGAUCAUGCCACGGGACAGAUACAGAACAAUAUCUUGAAACCUUCAUCUUAGCGACCCUAAUGAGAUGUCCAUAAUGACAGAAAAGAGGGCACAGCCCACCAUGACCAACUCUUCCGACUAAAACCCCUGAUGGACACCAUCACAAAUGCAUGCAGGUCAUUUUAUUAUCUCCAUAGAGACCUGGCUGUGGAUGAAAGGAAAAAACAAAUCAGAAAGAGGCUCCAUAAAAUGGAUCCAGGAUGGCCCCAUUGUCUAUGUGAAAUGGAUGGACACGAGUGAAGUAUCAGUCUGCACCCCACAGCACACUCUUGUAAAACUGUGCAGAGGACGGUAAAACAAUGAGAUGGCUCAUUCUACACAAGGAAUUCUGUCUGUCCCAGCAAAAAAAAACAUGACACACAAAGCUUUAAUUGAGGAAACUGACUGCUGAGAUAGUCUGUGGCAAGCCUCUCCGCACAGCUCCUGCCGGGCACCUGCAGGUCAUCAUCCUGCACAUAUCGCUGAUGUCCAUACAGAAGGCCCCAGAGAGAGAGCCACCAUGGUUCACAGAAGGUGUGAAUAUUGCCAAAGCCAAGACCAGGUGAUGUUGCCAGCACAGCAUGGCAGUUGAAAGAAUUAAACAUGAAAAGAUG